rnacentral:ncRNA from 1 species
GAAACUAUUAUGAAAUAUUAGCUAUGUAUUAAAGAGAUAUAUAUUUAACUCAAAAGUGUAGAUAAUAAACUCUAAGAUAAAUCAGAUAAUAAACGAAGUGAAUUGAAUUAUCUUAUUAACUUCAGGAAAAGAAAUCAAAAGAGAUUCUAUGAUUAGCGUGAGCAAAAAUAGAAAAGUCUAAAUAAUAAGUAAAAUGGAAUAAAACUGUUUGAAAAUUUUUAUGGGGAACCUUCCUCAAAGACUAAAUAUAAUACAUAAGCAAUAGUAAACUAGUACCGUGAGGGAAAAUAAAGUUGAAAUAGUAGUUUUAUAAGCAGCUCAAGUGAAAAUAAGAGCGUACCUUUUGCAUAAUGGGUCACCAAGUUAAUUUUAGAUGUGAGCUAAUUAAAAUGCGUAGUUAAACCGAUCAUCUAAAAAAUGAAAAAUAUCUAAAAUUAGACCCGAAUUACAGUGAUCUUACCAUGAUCAGGAUUUUAGGUCCGAACGGGUUAUCGUUGCAAAGAUAUCCGAUGAAUUAUGGUAAGUAUAGUGAAAGACAAUUCUGACUGUAUUAGCUGGUUUUCUGCGAAACCUAUAAUAGUAGGCAAUUUAAUUAACAUCUUAGCAGGUACAGAACUUAAUCUCAGACAAAAUGAAAAAAAAAUUAAUUUUUUUUUCAUUAUAUUUUGUAUACAUCGGGGGAUCAUAUAGAUUUUACCGGUGAGUUUGUGAACUCGGAAUGGUAAAGAUGAAUAUUAAAUUAUCAGACAUAGAAUGAUAAGGUUGUAUGUCAAAAGGGAAACAGCCCAGAACAAGAGUUAAGGUUCCAAAAUUAUUAUUAAGUGAAAUUAAGAAGGUUAAGGUAGAAAUCGACAAGGAGAUUGGCUUAGAAGCAGCCAUAAUUUAAAGAUCUCGUACCAGAGCACUUGUUAAUAUUAAAGCAUCGAAAAUAUAACGGAUCUAAAUAAUAUACCGAAACCUUGUCAAUUAAUAAAAAUAAUUAUUUUUAUUAAUUGGGUAGCAGAACAUUGAGUGAAUAUUAGUAUAAAAAAAAAUGAUAUUAUAACUCAAGUGAGAAUGGUGACAUGAGUAACGAUAAAGAAAGUUAAUGUAAAUGAAAAUUUUAUUAACAUUCUCGCCUAAAGCUUAUGGUGAUGAUAAGUAACGGCCUCUAAGUUUUUUACCUUAAGGUUAAAAUGAUGAGAAAAACUUUUUACUAAUAAUAAUUAUAUUUUUUUUAAGUGAAAAAUAUACAGGAAACAAUAGUAUAAAAUAACCGUUCCUAGGAACUAGAAAAAGUAAGCUAGUAGAGUAUACGAAGGCGCAUGAGAUAACAAUCUUAAAGGAACUCGGCAAAAUGACUACCGUAACUUAGGGAUAAGGAGGGCUCAUUUAAAUUGAUUAAUAUCAAGUAUAAAAGAAGAGACAUAAAAUAGUGUUGUACGACUGUUUAAUUAAAACAAAGCACUUUGCAAAAGAUGAUAAAUCAAUGUAUUAAGUGUGAUAUCUGCCCAAUGCCGUCAGCUUAAUUAUAGAUAUUAAUAAUAGAAAUUUGGUAUCCAUAAAAAUCCCCGGUGAAUGGCGGUCUUAUUUUGAGGAUCCUAAGGUAGCGAAAUGCCUUGGCCGUUAAAUGCGGUCUUGCAUGAAUGAUAUAACGAUACAACAGCUGUCUCUAAGAUUGACUCAGUGAAAUUG